rnacentral:rRNA from 1 species
AUAGCUUUAGGGCUAGCCUCAAGGUGAGAGAUACGGAGGUAGAGCACUGAAUGUCCUAGGGGGUAUUGCACCUACCGAAGACUAUCAAACUCCGAAUACCGUCAUCUUAUACUUGGGAGUCAGACUGUGGGUGAUAAGAUUCAUAGUCGAAAGGGCAACAGCCCAGAUCGUCAGCUAAGGUCCCUAAAUGUAAGUUAAGUGGUAAAGGAUGUGGGAUUGCACAGACAACCAGGAUGUUGGCUUAGAAGCAGCCACUCAUUCAAAGAGUGCGUAAUAGCUCACUGGUCGAGUGAUCCUGCGCCGAAGAUUUCCGGGGCUAAAACUUACUACCGAAGCUACGGCAUCAGUAAUGAUGGGUAGGGGAGCUUCCCAUACGGGUGGAAGCAUGACCGUAAGGACAUGUGGACAGUAUGGGAGUGAGAAUGUUGGCAUGAGUAGCGAGAUGUGGGUGGGAAUCCCACAGGCCGUAAACCCAAGGUUUCCAGGGGAAGGUUCGUCCGCCCUGGGUUAGUCGGGACCUAAGCUGAGGCCGAAAGGCGUAGGUGAUGGACAACAGGUUGAUAUUCCUGUACUACCGAU